rnacentral:tRNA from 1 species
GAGGGUACAGCUCAGUGGUAGAGUGCAUGCUUAGGAUGCACAAGGUCCUGGGUUCAAUCCCCAGUACUUCA